ACUCAAAGGAAUAGACGGGGGCCCGCACAAGCGGCGGAGCAUGUGGAUUAAUUCGAUGCAACGCGAAGAACCUUACCUGGGUUUGACAUACACCGGAAACAUCUGGAGACAGGUGCCCCGCAAGGUCGGUGUACAGGUGGUGCAUGGCUGUCGUCAGCUCGUGUCGUGAGAUGUUGGGUUAAGUCCCGCAACGAGCGCAACCCUCGUUCCAUGUUGCCAGCGGAUAAUGCCGGGGACUCAUGGGAGACUGCCGGGGUCAACUCGGAGGAAGGUGGGGACGACGUCAAGUCAUCAUGCCCCUUAUGUCCAGGGCUUCACACAUGCUACAAUGGCCGGUACAGAGGGCUGCGAAUCCGCAAGGUGGAGCGAAUCUCACAAAGCCGGUCUCAGUUCGGAUCGGGGUCUGCAACUCGACCCCGUGAAGUUGGAGUCGCUAGUAAUCGCAGAUCAGCAAUGCUGCGGUGAAUACGUUCCCGGGCCUUGUACACACCGCCCGU
rnacentral:rRNA from 1 species